ensembl:lincRNA
GCCCUGGUGACUGGGGCGCUCUUGUCCCACUGCUUAGUGUCGGGGUGUCGCCUGGGCAGACCUGGCACAGACUCUCCAGGGAAGAGCUUGGCACUGUCCCCCUGUGUGAUGCCCUGAGGGCACCCUCCUCAUAGAGCUUCCUGGCAACAGGCAGGGAGGAAGGGCCCCUGUGUCCCUCAGGGUGUCCCUGCGGGCCCUGGACUCCUCGGCUGGCCCCUGGGGCGGGUACACCAGUGCCACCUGCUGCCCUGGUGCCUGGGCUCACCUGGCUGCAAGUCUCCUUUACAUCGCAGCAUAGGUGGAGACGCUGUCCUGCUCUCUUUGCCGGGGAUGGCUGCGAUGUCCCCCUGCAUUUCUUCCUGUUGACUUAGGUCAGUGUCUACUCUGUGCCGUGGUCAGCUCUGCUCUUGUGUCACAGAAGGAAGCCAUGCUGCUGAAGUGGGCCACACCCCAAGGAGCCACGUGUGAGACCCUCCGUGGGGGUGUCCCACCCGUCUGUCCCAGAGUGGGGAUGCUGGAUGCUGUCCCUCCAGAUAGCCUCCAAGACACAGCAACUGGGGACCGCCAAACACUGUUUCUAUCCAUAAAGAUAAAAUUUGCGGGGGGAGCCUGGAGUUGACUCCAAUGGUGGAAAAGUCACAUAACUCUUAGAAGUAGAGACAACAACCUGCUCCCACUCAAAUGGGCUACAGCAAGCGCUCUGUCCCUUCUGGUGCAAGCCCUGGAGAGCUGUCCUGUGGGGAAACUGAGGCCUGGAGCCCUGACGGCGACUGCCCAGAUCCACAGCAAGGUUCGGCACGGGCUGGCCGGGUGGACACGGAUCUCAACCCCAGGCCUGGCGCCCACUGUUCCUCCUAGCUGGAAACCUCCAGCUCCGGAGCUCGUGGGGUUCCACCGGGAUGCCCACUUAACCCUGGGGUGUCGGCGGAGCAGGGUGCAUGUGAGUACCCCAGGGUCCCUGUGCUUGGUCUCUCCAGACUCAGCAGGGAGCACGGCUUACGCCGGAACGUGUAGAGGCGCUGAGACUCCAAGCAGGGGCUGCCCAGCGUGAGGUGCUCUGCUUGGAGGGGCCGCUCGUUGCCCCCGGGUUUGCUCUAUCACAGAGUGGGAGCAGCGCCCUGCUGGCCUCAGGGGACGAGGUCUCCUCCUCCGCUAUGCUGGAUCACCUGUCCCUGUGUCUGGUGACCUCAGGGCCGACACAACCUUCUGCAGCCUGCGUCUACUCAGGGCCCUGCCGGGCGCUGCCAUCCUGGGGCAGAACGGAAACCGCUGUGCCACCCGACAAGUGCCAGCUUGUCUUGCGGAGUCGGGCUCUGCCCUGAAUGCGUCCUUUGUUCCGGAAACCACAUUCCCUCCCUUUUACCUCUUUCUGCGUGUCCCACGUGGAGAGGGCUCCCCGCGGCUGCCCUGGGAAUCUGGAGUCAAACGCUGCGCUGGCCCAGGUGAAGCCACAGAGCCCUGAGGCCUGCGGGGUGCCGUCUGCCCCUCCUCUCGUUCCCCCUCCCUGACUGCCCAGGGCCGGGGCAGGCCCAGGCCACUGCCCCUGCUCUCCGGGUUUGUCCUUACCUUCCCCAUUGUCUGUUCAUAAAGUGUCUGAACAUCGAAUAUUGCAAACAGAAGUGGAAAAACAGAAGCAGGGUCACCCAAGCGGGCACUGCCAGUGUAGACACGGCACUCAGGUGCUGCCGCCGGGCCCUCUCAGGGCUGGUGGGGGUUGGUGGCACUGGACCACAGCCCAGCCCAGACUCCACUUUGUAAGUUGUGCUCUCUAAAUAUCCUCAGCUACUCAGUCAGCCGGACAGCCUCUCCCCUUUACCACCCACUGAAAAGGCCUGGUAACCUGGAAGGGACGCUGCAGGCACCCCAGCAUUUUGCCCCAGCACUCCACACCUCUCCUAAAAUAAAGACAGUUUCCUUCCA